rnacentral:rRNA from 1 species
UAGGGAAUCUUCGGCAAUGGGGGCAACCCUGACCGAGCAACGCCGCGUGAGUGAAGAAGGUUUUCGGAUCGUAAAGCUCUGUUGUAAGAGAAGAACGUGUGUGAGAGUGGAAAGUUCACACAGUGACGGUAACUUACCAGAAAGGGACGGCUAACUACGUGCCAGCAGCCGCGGUAAUACGUAGGUCCCGAGCUUUGUCCGGAUUUAUUGGGCGUAAAGCGAGCGCAGGCGGUUUAAUAAGUCUGAAGUUAAAGGCAGUGGCUUAACCAUUGUUCGCUUUGGAAACUGUUUAACUUGAGUGCAGAAGGGAAGAGUGGAAUUCCAUGUGUAGCGGUGAAAUGCGUAGAUAUAUGGAGGAACACCGGUGGCGAAAGCGGCUCUCUGGUCUGUAACUGACGCUGAGGCUCGAAAGCGUGGGGAGCAAACAGG